rnacentral:rRNA from 1 species
CCCUUAGAUGCUCUGGGCCGCACGCGCGCUACACUGGUCGAUGCAACGAGUUUCUUUCCUUGGCCGACAGGCCUGGGCAAUCUUUGAACAUCGAUCGUGAUCGGGAUAGAUUCUUGUAAUUUUUGAUCUUAAACGAGGAAUUCCUAGUAAACGCAAGUCAUCAGCUUGCAUUGAUUACGUCCCUGCCCUUUGUACACACCGCCCGUCGCACCUACCGAUUGAAUGGUCCGGUGAAAUCUCCGGACUGGCGUGAGUCGGAGCAAUCUGACAAACACCGGAAAGUUGAUUAAACCUUACCAUUUAGAGGAAGUUGAAGUCGUAACA